CUCAAAUGAAUUGACGGGACCGCACAAGCGGUGGAUGAUGUGGUUUAAUUCGAUGCAACGCGAAAAACCUUACCCACCUUUGACAUGGCAGGAAUCCUAAAGAGAUUUGGGAGUGCUCGAAAGAGAACCUGCACACAGGUGCUGCAUGGCUGUCGUCAGCUCGUGUCGUGAGAUGUUGGGUUAAGUCCCGCAACGAGCGCAACCCUUGCCAUUAGUUGCUACGAAAGGGCACUCUAAUGGGACUGCCGGUGACAAACCGGAGGAAGGUGGGGAUGACGUCAAGUCCUCAUGGCCCUUAUAGGUGGGGCUACACACGUCAUACAAUGGCCGGUACAGAGGGUAGCCAACCCGCGAGGGGGAGCCAAUCCCACAAAGCCGGUCGUAGUCCGGAUCGCAGUCUGCAACUCGACUGCGUGAAGUCGGAAUCGCUAGUAAUCGCGGAUCAGCAUGUCGCGGUGAAUACGUUCCCGGGUCUU
rnacentral:rRNA from 1 species